GAAUAUUUUGAAAGGUUCAGGGACUGGUGGCUUUGUUCCCUGUCUAAUUAUUGCUGAAAAACAUGCAGAAAGUUAGAACGAGUACAACUCCUACACCCGCCGUCGACGUAGAGCUUGCUCCUCUCCGUCGCGCACCACCGCCGCAACCGAACGCCCUGUCAGUGGUCAGCCCUCUCCGUGGUCUCACCUCCCCCGCCAACUUCGACGGAUACUCCGCGAAGGCAAGCUUCCGAGUCAUGCUGUUUUUGUUCUGGCUUUCUAAUUAAGAUAUGUUGUUCUUUUUUCCAACCGUAGCAUUUGAGCAAGCUCAAACGACCACUAUUUUUUGGUGGUUCUGUGUUGCUAGCGACGGUUCAGUUAUGGUGUUUAGCGCACUGACAGCAACAGUGUUUAUUGCGUUCACCGAACAUCCCUUGCACACCAUGUGUUUGAUGGGAGUUUCAGGACGAAUGGCAUUGUGAUAUCAAAUGUAUUCCGACCCAAUUACCGAGAGAAACAACCUCUUGAUGCAUUUCUCCGAGUAUUCUUUGGAGAACGGAGGUCAGCGCUUUUUUAAUAUCGCCUGAGUUGCAACUAGAGUAAAGAAGUUUGCUGCAAUGGCCAGUAGAUCGAUGAUCAAAUGGUCUAAUAAACUUACAACGUCCCUAGUCGAGCAGCUUAUUAGGGCUGAAAGGGACGUACAGAGGGCAAUGCUCAUCUUUGAUUCGGCAACAGCAGAGUAUAGUAAUGGUUUUCGCCAUGAUGAGAAAACCUUUAGCCUUAUCAUAUCUAAAUUGGUUUCUGCAAAUCAGUUCUGGACAGCGGAAGAGCUUCUUCAGAGAAUGAAAGAAGAGCAGUGCAAUCUUACAGAAGACAUAUUUCUCUCCAUCUGCAGAGGUUAUGGGCGAGUUCACAGGCCGCUGGAUUCAGUGAGGGUAUUCCAGAGGAUGAAGCGUUUCCAAUGCAAACCUUCACCCAAAUCAUACGUCACUAUUUUGGAUAUACUUGUUGAGGAAAACCAUUUGAAACUAGCUCUUAGAUUUUAUAAACACAUGAGGGAGAUUGGUGUAUCACCUACUGUUGCUUCCCUCAAUGUUUUGAUCAAAGCUUUGUGCAAGAUUAGUGGAACGAUGGAUUCUGCCCUUCAGAUAUUUUAUGAGAUGCCAAAUCGUGGAUAUGAUCCAGAUUCAUAUACAUACGGUACUUUGAUAAAUGGAUUGUGUAAAUGGGGGAAAAUUGGGGACGCCAGGAAACUAUUUGAAGAGAUGGAGACAAAAGGUUGUUCACCUAGUGUAAUCACCUACACUUCCAUGAUUCAUGGUCUGUGUCAAUCCGAGAAUUUAGAUGAAGCUUUUGGAUUGUUCGAACAAAUGGUGGGCAAUGGUAUUGAGCCUAAUGUGUUUACUUUCAGUUCAUUAAUGGAUGGAUUUUGCAAGAGUGGGUGUUCUUCUCAAGCAAUGGAGCUUUUGGACAUGAUGGUCAGGAAACGGCUGAUGCCCAACAUGAUAACUUACAGCACUUUGAUCCAUGGACUCUGUAAAGAAGGGAAAGUUUAUGAAGCUUUGGAGACUCUUGACAGGAUGAAGCUUCAGGGUUUGAAACCAGAUGCGGGACUGUAUGGCAAGAUCAUUGCUGGCUUUUGUGACAAGUGCAAAUUUCAGGAGGCUGCCAACUCCCUUGAUGAGAUGAUACUAGAAGGAGUCUCUCCGAAUCGUUUAACUUGGUCUAUUCAUGUCAGAAUCCACAACGCGGUUGUUCAAGGCCUUGCCAUUCAUGGUGAAAUAAAUCGUGCUUAUCAGCUUUACAUAAGCAUGCGGGCCAGGGGAAUUUCCAUUGAUGCUUUGACUUUCAGUGCUCUUGUUCGAUAUUUAUUUUGGAAAGGGGAUAUAGAUAAAGCUUAUCAAGUAUUUGAGGAAAUGGUACAUGAUGGAUGUGCUCUGGACGAGGAAACAUGGAAGGCAGUUGUAGAAGGAUUUGUGCAUUGGGAGAAAGGGAAAGAAGCCGCUAACUUAUUGCCUGAAUUGAUUGGUGAACAAUGAAAGAACCAGACAAGACUAUAAGAAUAUAAUUAUAGGAUCAUGUCGCAUCCUGUCAGCAUUAUCUUUGGGCAAAUUGGAGAAUCAGAAUUAAUUGCGGAUAUGAGAAAUCUAGCUGUUUGGAGCUAAUGGGCAAGCACUUCCUAUGGUCUUUGAAGCUCUGACUUCUGUGAAUCAAAAGGAUUAUCGCGCCCUUCCUUUGAUGCGGAUUCCUGUUGCAAACAGAAUUUACAAAGAGAUUUCUGUUGUCAAGUGACAUGAUGAUCGUACUUCCAGAUUUCAUCUAAUCAGCUGGACUUCAAUUUGUUCUUAUAUUGAGAUGGAGGACUGGCUACCAGAAAAGUUGGUUUGUUCAUCAAGCUCUUUAAGGCAAAUGGAAAUGGAAGUUUCUUGAAGAAAAGGAGAGAUCAUGGAGAAGAGUUUCAUUGUUAAAUAUGCCAUUUGAUAUGUGACCUGUGUUCUAAGGUGACAUGUGGAAGUAUUAUAGGAACGAUUGGUAUGUUUUUGCUGUUCACACCACCUUCAAUAUGGGUGAUGGAAGAAAAGCGAAGUCCUAGUAUGAUUGAAGAGGUACUGACCAGCCUUUUAAAACCUCUCAUGCUUGACAUUGCUGUUACUAAAGACAAGUCUGUAGCUGGCCUAUGUCCUGACUUCUUCAGACAAAUCCAGAAUUGAGAAGACAUUAUGAGGAGUUGGUAUGUAUGAGUUGAAGAUUGGGUAUGCCGCAGUUGCAACCGAUGGCAUUGUUUUGUGAUAGUCAAGCAGCUAUACAUGUUGCUUCGAGUCCUGUUUUUCAUGAGAGGACGAAGCAUAUAUAGAGCUCGAUGGUCAUUUUGUUCGAGAAAAGCUAGAGUCCCGGGAAAUCAAGACUGCGUUUGUUAGCGCUAAUGUUGGUCCUUGAGUCU